GACGAACGCUGGCGGCGUGCUUAACACAUGCAAGUCGAACGGUAAGGCCCUUCGGGGUACACGAGAGGCGAACGGGUGAGUAACACGUGGGUGAUCUGCCCUGCACUUCGGGCUAAGCCUGGGAAACUGGGUCAAAUACCGGAUAGGACCACUGCCUGCAUGGGUUGUGGUGGAAGGCUUUUGCGGUGUGGGAUGGGCCCGCGGCCUAUCAGCUUGUUGGUGGGGUGAUGGCCGACCAAGGCGCCGACGGGUAGCCGGCCUGAGAGGGUGACCGGCCACACUGGGACUGAGAUACGGCCCAGACUCCUACGGGAGGCAGCAGUGGGGAAUAUUGCACAAUGGGCGCAAGCCUGAUGCAGCGACGCCGCGUGAGGGAUGACGGCCUUCGGGUUGUAGACCUCUUUCAGCACCGACGAAGCGCAAGUGACGGUAGGUGCAGAAGAAGGACCGGCCAACUACGUGCCAGCCGCCGCAGUAA
rnacentral:rRNA from 1 species